ACGCUCGACACCUACGGGAGGCAGCAGUGGGGAAUAUUGCACAAUGGGGGAAACCCUGAUGCAGCGACGCCGCGUGAGCGAAGAAGUAUUUCGGUAUGUAAAGCUCUAUCAGCAGGGAAGAUAAUGACGGUACCUGACUAAGAAGCUCCGGCUAAAUACGUGCCAGCAGGCCGGGUAAUCUGAGCGGGCUGGCAAGGC
rnacentral:rRNA from 1 species